rnacentral:rRNA from 1 species
CAGGUGGUGCAUGGUUGUCGUCAGCUCGUGUCGUGAGAUGUUGGGUUAAGUCCCGCAACGAGCGCAACCCUUGUCUUUAGUUGCCAUCAUUAAGUUGGGCACUCUAGAGAGACUGCCAGGGAUAACCUGGAGGAAGGUGGGGAGGACGUCAAAUCAUCAUGCCCCUUAUGCUUAGGGCUACACACGUGCUACAAUGGGUAGUACAGAGGGUUGCCAAGCCGUAAGGCGGAGCUAAUCCCUUAAAGCUACUCUCAGUUCGGAUUGUAGGCUGAAACUCGCCUACAUGAAGCUGGAGUUACUAGUAAUCGCAGAUCAGAAUGCUGCGGUGAAUGCGUUCCCGGGUCUUGUACACAC